GAUGAACGCUGGCGGCGUGCCUAAUACAUGCAAGUCGAGCGAACAGACGAGGAGCUUGCUCCUCUGACGUUAGCGGCGGACGGGUGAGUAACACGUGGAUAACCUACCUAUAAGACUGGGAUAACUUCGGGAAACCGGAGCUAAUACCGGAUAAUAUAUUGAACCGCAUGGUUCAAUAGUGAAAGACGGUUUUGCUGUCACUUAUAGAUGGAUCCGCGCCGCAUUAGCUAGUUGGUAAGGUAACGGCUUACCAAGGCAACGAUGCGUAGCCGACCUGAGAGGGUGAGCGGCCACACUGGAACUGAGACACGGUCCAGACUCCUACGGGAGGCAGCAGUAGGGAAUCUUACGCAAUGGGCGAAAGCCUGACGGAGCAACGCCGCGUGAGUGAUGAAGGUCUUCGGAUCGUAAAACUCUGUUAUUAGGGAAGAACAAAUGUGUAAGUAACUAUGCACGUCUUGACGGUACCUAAUCAGAAAGCCACGGCUAACUACGUG
rnacentral:rRNA from 1 species